CCUACGGGGGGCAGCAGUGGGGAAUAUUGGACAAUGGGCGAAAGCCUGAUCCAGCCAUGCCGCGUGUGUGAAGAAGGCCUUCGGGUUGUAAAGCACUUUCAGUGGGGAAGAAAGCCUUGGGGCUAAUACCCUCGAGGAAGGACCUCACCCACAGAAGACGCACCGGCUAACUCCGUGCCAGCAGCCGCGGUAAUACGGAGGGUGCGAGCGUUAAUCGGAAUUACUGGGCGUAAAGCGCGCGUAGGCGGUCUGAUAAGCCGGUUGUGAAAGCCCCGGGCUCAACCUGGGAACGGCAUCCGGAACGGUCAGGCUAGAGUGCAGGAGAGGAAGGUAGAAUUCCCGGUGUAGCGGUGAAAUGCGUAGAGAUCGGGAGGAAUACCAGUGGCGAAGGCGGCCUUCUGGACUGACACUGACGCUGAGGUGCGAAAGCGUGGGUAGCAAACAGGAUUAGAUACCCGGGUAGUC
rnacentral:rRNA from 1 species